GGCCAGCUAACGUUAACCUUAGCAUACAACACUGUUUGCCAGAGCGAAUACAGAUUACUUCCUGUCUACAAGAUGAUAAAGCAAUUACGUAACUGUUUAAAAUAAAAUUGUUUAGAAUUAUGCGGGAAGAAAUACAGAAAAUACUAGAUAAUUUACCUCGCUUUUUCACUGUCAAAUAGCUAGCUACGUCCAAAUAAGCAGUUGUGUUUAUUUGUACUACAGCACAAACUCCGAGUGGAUGUGAUUAAGAAGGCGUGGCAUCGAUCGACUUCGAUGUUCCAUGAAUAAGCAAGGUUGCACCGAGGAAAAUGUCACAGACACUAUCUGAUGUGUGGAGACAUUUCACUGCAGCUAAUGUAAAAGGAAAAGCUGUGUACAUUUGCAAAUACUGUGCUAAAUAAUUUGUGAAGAAUUUAACAAAGAUGCAGAAUCAUCUGGCCAAGUGCAUAAAGUUCCCUCAGCGGUCACAACAAGCAACCUCUGACAAAAGUCUGUAUACUUCUAUUCAAGGUCAAAUCAGACACCUUAUCGAUAGCAACAGCUCAUGGUCCUCCUGGAAUCAGAAGUUUUUUGACUCAAUGUAGGAACGUAGUCAGAGACAUGCUGAUGAAUGUCUUGCUCGAGCUGUGUAUGCAACUGGUUCACCUCUGAUGCUCACAGGCAAUGUGUAUUGGAAGAGAUUUCUGAAUGUUCUUUUUCCAGCAUACACCCCUCCAACCAGCCAUGCUUUAUCUACUAAUUUGCUGGAUGUUCAACAUUCAAGUGAAGGUCAAGCAAAUCAUAGAGAAAGCAGACUGUAUUGCAAUCAUCUCUGAUGUGUGGUCGAAUGUUCGUGGGCAAGGAAUAAUUAACUACAUCAUCUCCACCCCUCAACCAGUAUUCUGCAAGAGCACAGACACCGGGGACAACAGACACACCGGUCUCUACAUUGCAGAUGAGCUGAAGGCAGUCAUCAAUGACCUUGGACCACAGAAGGUAUUUGCACUGGUGACAGACAAUGCUGCGAACAUGAAGGCUGCUUGGUCUAAAGUGGAGGAGUCUUACCCUCACAUCACACCCAUUGGCUGUGCUGCUCAUGCAUUGAAUCUGCUCAAGGACAUCUUGGCACUGAAAACAAUGGACACACUCUACAAGAGAGCCAAGGAAAUGGUUAGGUAUGUGAAGGGUCAUCCAGUUAUAGCAGCAAUCUACCUCACCAAGCAAAGUGAAAAGAAUAAGAGCACCACAUUUAUGCUGCCCAGCAACAGUCUUUGGGGAGGUGUUGUCAUCAUGUUUGACAGUCUCCUGGAGGGGAAGGAGUCUCUCCAAGAAAUGACCAUAUCACAGUCUGCUGACAUGGACAGCCCCAUCAAGAGGAUCUUCCUGGAUGAUGUAUUUUGGGAGUGGUAAGCAACCUGAAACUCCUGAAACCAAUAGCAGUAGCCAUUGCACAGAUUGAGGGAGACAUUGCCAUCCUGUCUGAUGUUCAGACUAUGUACUGCCCUGCCCACUUCACUGUUGCUCCAAGCAGAGGAAACUGCAGUUCUAAAAUACAUCGAAAAGCAUGAAGAUUUCUGCCUGAAGCCCAUACACGCCGCAGCGUACAUGUUGGACCACAAGUAUGCUGGCAAGAGUAUCCUGUCUGAUGCAGAGAUCAACAAGACCUAUAGUAUCAUCACUACCGUGUCUCUCCACUUUGGCCUGGAUGAGCGCAAGGUUCUAGGUAGUCUGACGAUGUACACUUCCAAGCAAGGGCUUUGGGAUGGAGAUGCAAUAUGGCAGUCGUGCCAACAUCUCAUCAGCCCCCUGUUGGAAGAGACUUUGUGGAUCUGAGGCUCUUUCUGCUGUUGCCUUCAUCAUCCUCCAAAUCCCACCAACAUCAGCCGCCUCAGAGCGCAACUGGUCCUUGUUUGGGAACACACACACCAAAGCACGCAACAGGCUGACCAAUACAAGAGUUGAAAAAUUGGUGGCCAUCCAGGCAAAUUUGAGGCUUUUUGAGCCUGACAACGAGCCAUCCUCAACAAGGUUGGAAAGUGACAGUAAAGAUGAGGCCUCAGAGUCUGAUGUUCAAGAGGUCGACAUUGAGGAGGUCCCGGGAGAAGACAUGGAAGCCUUAGAGGAAGACAACCAAAGCUUUAGUAUCUAGACUAUAAUUUUACAGAUGUAUGUUGAAAACGUUUUUGGGAGAUGUGAUGGAUCAUUGGGGAUCAUUCAGUAUCUCAUUUUCCUUCAUGUUCUGUGAAAUCAUCCCAUGUGAAGAGUCAAUUUAUUUAAUUAAAGUUCAAUUCGUAACAAUUUUAUUUAAAAACAUUAUAUUGGAAAUAUUUAAUCAUUUGCAUUUUGUCUACUUAUGAUAAGGUAAAAUAGUUAUGUUUCUGUCUCCAUAUGAUAUCGUAAAUAUAUUCAAUGUAAUAAAACAUCUACAUAUAAAUGCUAUUAAUAUUAAAUUGCAUAUAUUUCCGUUAAUUCCCAUAUAUUCCCUUUAAUUCCCAUAUAUGCCCGUUAAUUCCCACGGAAAAUUUCCACCUCUGAAUAUUCCCCAAAAUGUGCAACCCAAACAAUAACACAAGGAUAACCCUGAUUAAAAAAAGUUUCAAGACAACAUUUCAUACUUCUAAAUGUCUUGAAGGAUGAAACUACAUGAGUUUUCAUAGCCUACUGCUAUAUUACACAAAGACAAACCCAGUUAGUC
ensembl:lncRNA